CACUCUCUGACUACUGAUACAACUCGACAAGCUGAUCUCAUGCUCACACCUUCCAGGAGCCUAUCGCUUUGAAAUACCGAGUCAAAGUUCCAACAACCACGUUUACCAUCCGACCUCAGCAUGGAAAUAUGGCCCUCCUGCAAACUGCACCCGCAACACCGGAAAACAUACAAGAUGGCCAGAGCUUACAAACCUGGACAGUGAUAUCGCCUGAUUUAUGGUUUGAGGUUCUACUGCAGUGCCUUGCAAAUAACUGCAGCGAACGGCUGCUGAAUGGAACUGAAAUCGAAUGGCGUGAACCAAAUUGUCAUGAAUUGAAGAGCCAGGUAGCUGAGGCUUCAUCGUCUUUUACCCGGGUACUUCCUGUGCCCUGUGCCUCAAUUUUGUGCUUGGUCAUAUUAUGAUUAUAUCCU
rnacentral:lncRNA from 1 species